GACGAACGCUGGCGGCGUGCCUAAUACAUGCAAGUCGAACGCAGUGGGGACGGGUAAGUAACACGUGGGUUACCUCCCCUCAGAGGGGAUAACACUUGGAAACAGGUGCUAAACCGAUACUGAUGGAUGGACUCGCGGUGCAUGAGCUCGUUGGGGAGGUAACGGCUCACCACGGCAACGCUGCAUAGCCGACCGUGGAGGGUGAUCGGCCACACUGGGACUGAGACACGGACCAGACUCCUACGGGAGGCAGCAGUAGGGAAUCUUCGGCAAUGGACGAAAGUCUGACCGAGCAACGCCGCGUGAGUGAAGAAGGUUUUCGGAUCGUAAAACUCUGUUGUUAGAGAAGCGGUAUCUAACCAGAAAGCCACGGCUAACUACGUGCCAGCAGCCGCGGUAAUUC
rnacentral:rRNA from 1 species